GCUGGCGGCAUGCCUUACACAUGCAAGUCGAACGGCAGCGCGGGGCAACCUGGCGGCGAGUGGCGAACGGGUGAGUAAUAUAUCGGAACGUACCCUGGAGUGGGGGAUAACGUAGCGAAAGUUACGCUAAUACCGCAUACGAUCUAAGGAUGAAAGUGGGGGAUCGCAAGACCUCAUGCUCCUGGAGCGGCCGAUAUCUGAUUAGCUAGUUGGUGGGGUAAAGGCCCACCAAGGCAUCGAUCAGUAGCUGGUCUGAGAGGACGACCAGCCACACUGGAACUGAGACACGGUCCAAACUCCUACGGGAGGCAGCAGUGGGGAAUAUUGGACAAUGGGCGCAAGCCUGAUCCAGCCAUGCCGCGUGAGUGAUGACGGCCUUAGGGUUGUAAAGCUCUUUCGUCAGGGACGAUAAUGACGGUACCUGAAGAAGAAGCCCCGGCUAACUUCGUGCCAGCAGCCG
rnacentral:rRNA from 1 species